GCCUGGGUGGCUCAGUCGGUUGAGCGCCAGACUUCGGCUCAGGUCAUGAUCCCCCGGUUCGUGGGUUCAAGCCCCGCGUCGGGCU
rfam:Felis catus isolate Cinnamon breed Abyssinian chromosome A3, whole genome shotgun sequence.